CCAUGAAGUGUAACUGUGCUUCUCCAGAGAGGCCCACUCUACGCCUUCCUUCUUAUCAGUGUGCUCAGUCCGAGGUCGAUCCCACUGCUUCUCUAUGUGCAACUGCGCACACAAGCGGCCCUGUGUAAUCGUGUUGACACGGACUCUGCAUUUGAAGCCAUGUUUGGGUUCAAAGUAUACCUAUCUCUUGGCUUGGAAACAAGAGCAGCUUAGUCUUGGCUUGUACAUUUCCUCCCAUCCCUUUGAAUUUGUUAAAGUUGCCCCUGGAUCAACUAAGCUGACAUUGAAAAACAUAUAUAGAAAUAAUAAGUGAAUUGUUCCUCUGGGUCAUUCCUACGUGGCUGGGAAGGAACCUGAAGACCUUGGGCAUGGUGGAGAAGAAGGUUACUUCAAUGAGCGGCUGCAUGAAAGACACGGCACCUUCUAUGGAGGGAGCAGAUGAUCCUGCCAGCCAAUUUCACAUGCGCGCAGCACACAGAAAUUGAGCCGUUCAGUGGCGGUAAGCACAGUCACGCUGUAGCGCAGCCAUCACCGUCCUCCACAGAACUUUUCCAUCUCGCAACACUGACGCCAAGCCCACUAAACG